rnacentral:piRNA from 1 species
UGGUAAAUGAAAAAGGGCUACACGAUA